rnacentral:rRNA from 1 species
AUUGAACGCUGGCGGAAGGCUUAACACAUGCAAGUCGAGCGAGCGGCGGACGGGUGAGUAAUGUAGGGGAAACAGCCUGAUGGAGGGGGAUAACUACUAGAAACGGUAGCUAAUAACGCAUACCAUCAGAUGUGCCCAGAUGGGAGUAGCUAGUAGGUGGGGUAAUGGCGCACCUAGGCGAAGAUCCCUAGCUGGGCUGAGAGGAUGACCAGCCACACUGGAACGUAGACACGGUCAAGACUCCUACUGUAGGCAGCAGUGUGGAAUAUUGCACAAGGGGCGCAAGCCUGAUGCAGACAUGCCGCGUGUGUGAAGAAGGCCUUCGGGUUGGAAAGCACUUUCAGCGAGGAGGCGUUACUCGCAGAAGAAGCACCGGCUAACUCCGGGCCAGCAGCCGCGGUAAUAC